rnacentral:rRNA from 1 species
AUUGAACGCUGGCGGCAUGCCUUACACAUGCAAGUCGAACGGCAGCACGGGUGCUUGCACCUGGUGGCGAGUGGCGAACGGGUGAGUAAUAUAUCGGAACGUACCUUAUUGUGGGGGAUAACGCAGCGAAAGCUGUGCUAAUACCGCAUAAUCCCUAAGGGGGAAAGCGGGGGACCGUAAGGCCUCGCGCAAUUAGAGCGGCCGAUACCUGAUUAGCUAGUUGGUGAGGUAAAGGCUCACCAAGGCAACGAUCAGUAGCUGGUCUGAGAGGACGCACAGCCACACUGGGACUGAGAAACGGCCCAGACUCCUACGGGAGGCAGCAGUGGGGAAUUUUGGGCAAUGGGGGCAACCCUGAUCCAGCAAUGCCGCGUGAGUGAAGAAGGCCUUCGGGUUGUAAAGCUCUUUUGUCAGGGAAGAAACAGCAGCUCUAACACAGUUUGCGAAUGACGGUACCUGAGGAAUAAGCACCGGCUAACUACGUGCCAGCAGCCGCAGUAA